rnacentral:rRNA from 1 species
AAGGCCCAGACAGCCAGGAUGUUGGCUUAGAAGCAGCCAUCAUUUAAAGAAAGCGUAAUAGCUCACUGGUCGAGUCGGCCUGCGCGGAAGAUGUAACGGGGCUAAACCAUGCACCGAAGCUGCGGCAGCGACGCUUAUGCGUUGUUGGGUAGGGGAGCGUUCUGUAAGCCUGCGAAGGUGUACUGUGAGGUAUGCUGGAGGUAUCAGAAGUGCGAAUGCUGACAUAAGUAACGAUAAAGCGGGUGAAAAGCCCGCUCGCCGGAAGACCAAGGGUUCCUGUCCAACGUUAAUCGGGGCAGGGUGAGUCGACCCCUAAGGCGAGGCCGAAAGGCGUAGUCGAUGGGAAACAGGUUAAUAUUCCUGUACUUGGUGUUACUGCGAAGGGGGGACGGAGAAGGCUAUGUUGGCCGGGCGACGGUUGUCCCGGUUUAAGCGUGUAGGCUGGUUUUCCAGGCAAAUCCGGAAAAUCAAGGCUGAGGCGUGAUGACGAGGCACUACGGUGCUGAAGCAACAAAUGCCCUGCUUCCAGGAAAAGCCUCUAAGCAUCAGGUAACAUCAAAUCGUACCCCAAACCGACACAGGUGGUCAGGUAGAGAAUACCAAGGCGCUUGAGAGAACUCGGGUGAAGGAACUAGGCAAAAUGGUGCCGUAACUUCGGGAGAAGGCACGCUGAUAUGUAGGUGAAGUCCCUCG